AAAUGACAACAAAAGCUUCAAACUCGCUGUACCGAAUAUCUCAAUGCCAACAGAAAAUAACCCGAAUAUAUUUUUAUUGCAUAGAAAGAUAAACGACCUGAUGGCCCAUCUGAUUUCAGUCGAUUAUUAGAGAUAGACGUCACAUCAGUCAAAAAUCGAACCUACGACCCUCGACGCAACAGUGAGAUCAGCUAACUACUGCACCAUCGAUUCAGUUUGAAAUAUAUAAUUAACUUACCAGCACCAAUAAACGCAAUAUUUAGUUUAACAUAAUCUGUUUCUGAAUUAACCAGGAAUUCUCUAUCUAAAACGACAUUAUAUUUCAGUCAUUGAAUUUGCAAUAACGAUAACCGUACCGAAUUAGAGUAAUGAACAAGCAUAAUGCUGUCAUGAAUAAAGUAACACCGGCUGAAGAUAGCGUUGAAAUUAUGAAAAUGAAUCGACCAAAAUGAAAGUAGUUUAGUAUGACGAAACAGUUGGAACGCGGGGAGUUGGGCAGAGGAAUGCAUGAUCCACGCGGUGUUAAAUUUUAUCAUUGGAUAACGAAAACAUUAAAACCUUAAUACCACCAACCCUGAAUCGGGAAGCUGAAACCUCUUUCAAGAUGCGCUAAUCUUCAAAAUGAGACAAAAACAGUACUAUAAGGAUCGUAAUAGACCCUGCAGUCAUUAAUUACACAAUCCCUAUUACUAAUUCUCGUUUAUAAAAUAUAUUGUUAUAACUUUAUCAAUAUAAUCGUUCUUUAACUGGCUCCGAUUAAUGGACAUUAAUUUAACAUAUUAUUAUUUUUAUUGUUGUUGAUUUAAGCUUCAUCUGUCAAUUAUAGCAAAAUUACAAGUCAAUAUUGCAGACGUUUCAAACUGUUUGCAAUUUUUGCGAAAAAAAAAACUAGCAAAAUGUGUAUUUAAAAUACUAUAUUUGUAGUACUAGACACCGAAUGCCAACUGCUGCUAGUAUGUGCGACUAUGAUAACCAUACACGAACCAUAACCAUAACCAUAACCAUAACCAUACCAACCAUAGCCAUAAAAAAAGUAACGACCUACAGAAACAAAAGUAAGAUUUCUUUAUCCACAUAUUUCUGAUUUUUCGUUCCUCAAAUAUGUAAUCUCUCCUGCGUAGACAUCGCGAGCCUCUGGUUAAAGAAAUAGCCGAUAAGUCGAUCGAUAUACAACUAAAUUGAGCUCAGACCUCACGUGACCCACCAAAGUGGCCAGAAGGUUUUUACGAAAUGAACAAAAAACUUAAAAACGAAGCGAUAUUGUGACUCAGUACGGGUCACCGUGACCUUUCCAUUUAGAUUUAAACCUGACUAAAACACAUCGCCGGAAGGACCUAAUCAGUAUACCUACCGUCCGUUCUGAGUAUUCCGUUUUCGUUUUAUUUCUGUAGUCGAUUUAAUUAUGCCAAUUCUCUCUAAUGUUAAUCCUAAUUUCACUGUUUCUUUUUUAAAUAUUGGUCUUUGAUAUAUUAAAAAAUAAAUAAUAAAUAA